rnacentral:rRNA from 1 species
CAGUCGCCGCGGUAAUACAGAGGAUGCAAGCGUUAUCCGGAAUGAUUGGGCGUAAAGCGUCUGUAGGUGGCUUUUCAAGUCCGCCGUCAAAUCCCAGGGCUCAACCCUGGACAGGCGGUGGAAACUACCAAGCUGGAGUACGGUAGGGGCAGAGGGAAUUUCCGGUGUAGCGGUGAAAUGCGUAGAGAUCUGGAGGAACACCGGUGGCGAAGGCGGCCCCCUGGACAAAGACUGACGCUCAGGUGCGAAAGCGUGGGGAGCAAACAGGAUUAGAUACCCGUGUAGUCCCUGUCUCUUAUAC